UUAGAACAACAAUACCAUCGAGAGGAGAUAAACACCACCAACAACCAGUAACUCUUCCACCUUAACCAAUAACAACAGAACUCAUACAAGAAAGAGAUAGAACAAUAAAAAUACAACAUAAACAUAUAGAGAAUGGAAAUAAAAAAUAGAGGAAAAAUGAGGAGCGAAUAACAACAUAACAACGACAAUGCUAUUUCCUCGACCUCUUUCCUCCCUUAACAAAAACAACCAAAACUUUCGCCAUCAUCAAUGAUUCCGUGAAUACCACUUAGCACACCAUGGAUGUGGGAUAAGCUUCUCCUCGCAGCUCUAUUUUUUGGCGACCCAAAACCCCCUUCUUCCUCAUUUUUUUCCAGCAACCAAACACCCAUUAUUAUCGCUGUUACAUUUUUUAUGGUAGAUACACUCCCUAGACCUAUAAUCCCACUAAAUCGACCGUUCCAUUCCUGUUCUGAUGAAAUUUUGUCGGAUUGAGUUUGAUUUUAGUGUUUCUUAGUUAAAUUUGUUUGAUUUCUCUUUUGGGUCAUCAAUCAAGGUUAUCUUUCGGACUAGUUGAUUUUGGUUUUUUGGGUUAGUGCGAUUGGAUUUGAGUAGUUCGUCGUGAGUCUUUUGUCUGAGG
rnacentral:lncRNA from 1 species